rnacentral:rRNA from 1 species
UACGAAGGGGGCUAGCGUUGCUCGGAAUUAUUGGGCGUAAAGAGUGUGUAGGCGGUGCUCUAAGUCUGUCGUGAAAUCUCCCGGCUUAACUGGGAGGGUGCGGCGGAAACUAGAAUGCUAGAGGGUGGGAGAGGUAAGCGGAAUUCCUGGUGUAGCGGUGAAAUGCGUAGAUAUCAGGAGGAACACCUGUGGUGUAGACAGCUUACUGGACCACUUCUGACGCUGAGACACGAAAGCGUGGGUAGCAAACAGG